UACGUAGGGGGCGAGCGUUGUCCGGAUUUAUUGGGCGUAAAGAGCGUGUAGGCGGCCAGGUAGGUCUUCUGUGAAAACUCGAGGCUCAACCUCGAGACGUCGGCGGAAACCAUCUGGCUAGAGUCCGGAAGAGGAGAGUGGAAUUCCUGGUGUAGCGGUGAAAUGCGCAGAUAUCAGGAAGAACACCAAUUGCGAAGGCAGCUCGCUGGGACGUAACUGACGCUGAGACGCGAAAGCGUGGGGAGCAAACAGG
rnacentral:rRNA from 1 species